CUCUCUCCGCCUGGUGCCGCCACCGCCGAGGAGGAGGAGGAACAUGGCGAAAGCGGAGCAGGUCCUCAGCCUCGAACCGCAACACGAGCUCAAAUUCAAAGGUCCUUUCACAGAUGUUGUCACUACGAACCUGAAACUCGGCAACCCUACAGACAGAAAUGUGUGCUUCAAAGUUAAGACCACAGCACCACGUAGAUACUGUGUAAGGCCUAACAGUGGAAUUAUUGAUGCAGGAACAUCAAUUAAUGUUUCUGUGAUGCUACAGCCUUUUGACUAUGACCCCAAUGAGAAAAGUAAACACAAGUUUAUGGUUCAGUCUAUGUUUGCUCCAGCUGAUACUUCAGAUAUGGAAGCAGUAUGGAAAGAGGCAAAGCCGGAGGAACUCAUGGACUCAAAACUUAGGUGUGUGUUUGAGCUACCAACGGAAAAUGAUAAGCCUCAUGACAUAGAAAUAAAUAAAAUCGUAUCCACAACUGCAACAAAGACAGAUUCCUCUGUAAUGUCUAAAUCAAUAAGUUCUUCCUUGGAUGACACUGAAGUUAAGAAAGUAAUGGAAGAAUAUAAGAGGCUUCAAGUAGAAGUUCAGAGGUUACGGGAGGAGAAUAAACAGUUUAAGGAAGAAGAUGGACUUCGGAUGAGAAAGGCACCCCAGACGAACAACCCAAUAUCUGCUUCUGCAGCUGUUGUCAAGGAUGAAGGGCACAGCUCCAGACUACUUGCUUUGGUGGUUUUGUUCUUUGUCAUUGGUGUAAUUAUAGGAAAAAUAGCCUUGUAGAGGCAGCAUGCUGGAAAUUGUAAAUUGGUUUGAUGGUUCUGCCAUAUCAUUGGAUUAAAUUUAUUCAUAACAGUGUUUAAAAAAAAAUUAAUGUAUGACAUCUCACAGGUCUUGCCUUUAAAUUACCCCUGCACAAAUACUAUGUAACAUAAUCUAGGAAGUUUAAAAUGUACAAUGAGGGAAUGAAUGAAAAAAUAUUCUUCAGUGAUGAAGGGGGAAGAAAAUCAUGAUUUAACACUACAAUGGAAUAUUGUAUAUGUCAUUUUAAACAUUCUUAGUCCCUGGUACAUGUUGCUGGAUGACCUCUUUUUAAAAAAAAAAAAAAAAAGGAAAAAAAAGGAAAAAUAGAAAAAAAAAAGAUUCCUCCACUGCUGGAGCUGGCCCUAUUGGAUGUUUGGAGCUGGGUUAGGCAGGAGGUGUUGAUAAGUUCUGUAAAAUACGUUAAUCCACCAUUCUGCUCAUAAAUUUAACAGUUUUUCUGUCAGUGUCUUCAACUCUGUGCAAGUUACCAAUUUCUUGGCACUUAAAUGAAUAGUGAGAAGCUGGAAAGAGUUGUAUGUGGCAACGCUGAAUGUGCUAGGCAUCAUUAAGAGGCGUAUAUUGACUGGUAUGACGCUAGUUUGGAGUAAAAGUCAAUGCCUUGUUCUUAUGGAGGGACCAAGCUACAUUGCUGUUGGUUCAUUUAGUUGAAUUAAAAUGUUAUUCAGAGAUGUUUAAUGCAUAUUUAACUUAUUUAAUGUAUUUCAUCUCAUGUUUCCUUCCUGUCACAAAAUUGACUAAUGCUUUAUGGUAUGAAAAGGCACCUGUUCUAAAGCCAGUGACUAGAACUAAAAAUCUGCUGCUGUAGUGAUGCAAGAUUCUUCUGCCUCCUGUAGUUUUGGGCACUACACAAUUGUUGGGAGUUCUGAUCAUCUGAGCAUUGGGGAAACAGUGGUCAGGAAACUGUUUUUGUAUGUAAAUAAGUCUAUCUAGGGGAAAAAAUAUUAGUAGUAAACUAGUCCUAUGCCGUAAAAAGACCAAUCCUGUUUGAUGAUGUAGCAUCUAAAAAAAAAAAAAAGGAAGAAGAAAAAAAGAAAUUAAAUAAAGCCCCCAAAUUAAUGUUUCUUUUGUUACUGUUGUCAUGCUCUGAUAGUUUUGGCGGGGAGGGGACAGCAUUAUCGGUCAGCUUAGCUUGUUUAUGGCAUAAGGAAAGCAGUAGCCGUGUUUCAGAAAGACUUUUCCCUGCCUCAUUUUAACGUCCGUGUGAGCAGCCCCACUCUGAGCAUCCUUUACUGGUGUGCUGUGUUGUUCACAGGAGCCGUGCUGACUGCGGAGGUGCUGCGUAACUUCGUGUUUCUCAGUUUAGUUGGAUUCAUUAGUUAAGAUGCUUACUAACAUAUCGAACGUGAAGCAAAGGAUGGAAGGGGCAAAGAGCUGAAGUGUGGCUGCAGCGGGGCGCUGGGAGACAAAGCACGGAGGUCAGUGUGACAGACUGGGCUGAGGGACCAAGACAGGUACAGAUCAGUGCCAACUUCUACAGAAGCAGUUGAGAGGGCCUUUUCAGAAACACGAGGUUGUAAAUAAUGAAAAAAGGUCAUUCUUGGCUUUAAAGAAUGUAUUUGGGAAAUUUCUUCCCUGAAGGGAGGCUGAAUUACCUGGUGUCUUUGAAGAGGCUGUGUAUAGCUUGAUUUCACUAAGAAUGCUAACAGAAGAGCUGAAAUCCUAAUGUGCUUCACAAUAUAUAGUAUUAACUUUGAGAGCCCUGAAAAACAGCCUCUAAAAGUGUUAAAAGAAAAGAAAGAAAGGAAAGAAAAGCAGCCUUUGCAGACCCGCACCUCCAGUCCUGAACAGGACUCUUAAAUUAACUCUGUAUCUUUGGCAGCUUUAACAAAUAAUAAUAAUGAAGGUCUUUCCUAACAGUUUUUGAUGACCGCCUACACAAUAUCUUUGCUUUUGCUGGACUUAAAAUGGCUGCUCAGUAGAAUCCUUAUUACCUGCCCUUCAGCCCACCCUUCUUUCAUAUGCAAUAGAAAGAAAAGCGAAGGUAUUUUUUCUUGCAGAGUUCCUGAAGGCCAUUCUGCAGAUACUGCAAAAAUAAUCCAGCUUUUAUAAACCAUCCCAUAGAUGGCUGCUGCUAGGAGAGCUUUCGUUCGGUAUUUGUAGGAGGUGAAUAUUCUGGAGGGCACUGUGUAUCUUAGGAGGUUGCACAUGAAGUUUAGAGCUCAUGGAUAACACUUAUCAUCUGGUCACACCAGCACCAGCUACUAGGAAACUGUAAUUGAUACAUGAUAGUAGAAAACAAGUUAUUACUUACUCAUUGUCCUUACUGUUCUUUUAAGAUACAUUUACUGAUAGUUUUUCUAAGAGCCAGCAGAGGCUGCUUUGGUAGUGCUGUCCUUGUGGAGCUCUGGCACUGCUGUCUGCAGCGCACACACACUGCUUUGGGCCCCUCUGCAAACAGUUCUAAAACCUCUCAGAGCCGAAAUGUGCUGAGAAGUGGAUGAGAAAACGAUUUCUGCUCUUCUCACGUGGCUGUUCCCAUCUUACAGCAGCGCUCCGUGUGUGAGUGGUGGUGUGACUGUGCACUGCAGUUGUGGAGUGUGGAUGCACGUGCACAGCAGCUGUGUGUGCAGGCUGGGCACCCAGUCCUGGGUUCUUGUCAAGUAGCUGUAGGGCCCAAAGAGUUAAGUUAAUACUACGUAUGUAACGCUGAGAGGGAUUGAUGUAUCAUAAUGUAAUUUUCUGUAAGUAUGGGAUUGUAAUAGCUUGGUGAUGGUAUUCCGUGUUACUUUUUUUUCUGCUGAAAUGCUGUUAGUGGGAUAAAGUUGGAAAUUCACUUUACAAAUUGCUAGACUUUCUUCUCACCAAUAAACCAUAAAGGGUUUCUAGUUGCUGCACUUGUGAACUUGCAAUUCUUAUUAUAACCUUGACUUAACAGUCAGUAUAUUUACAUGGUGAUGUGGGUACAAAAAGGAUCCUUAACGUCUUAUGGUUUGGCACUGCACUCACCAAACACCAGAAGCUCUCUCUGUGUCAUCCCUUCCCUCUUAAAACAAAAAUCCCUUACUUGGAACGCCUUCGUUCGUGGGUGCAGUAAUGACCUGUGGAAUCUGAGGUCUUCACGCUGUCCUUACUUUGCUUUACAUUAUGUCCCAUCACGUCGUAUCUCACAUUCUAUUUUCUAUCUAAAGCAACUGAGGAAAAGCACAACGAAAGAGCCCUCUGUUUGGAGUGGAUGAGCACAUAGGAGCAGCCGUCUGGACCCCACGUGUGCUGUGCAGCAGUACCACCCAGCAGCACUGAGGCAGCUCAGGGUUGCUUUUCAGUCCUGUUUGCAGAUGGGUCAGCACCCAUUACUCAGAUCCUCAAGUGAGCAGGCUGAGGAAGGACAGGUGGUGAGUGAGUUGCAGUGUGCACAUCUGUGUACUUAGGAUUGUCUUUUUGUGUGUGUUGCUUUUAUUAUUCAGAAACAAAUAUGAAAAAAAGAAGGUGACAGUGUAGGACUGGGCUUAGUUACAUAAUUACAUUACAUUACAUUAGUUACAGCCAUAGGUGGAUGCUACUCUUCUUUGUAACUCUAUGAAUGUUACUCUUCUUUGUAACUGGAUACAUUUCUACAAGUCUGAUUCACUGUUGAGGAGAUAACAUAAAUCAAUGUGUGGGCAUUUCAGAAAGAAAAGCAACUACUGAGUGAGGCUGCCUGCUCCGGCAGGCUGAAACCUGGCUCUUGUGCAGGGUCACUCCAUUAAGAGCUGACAGCGGGCUGCAGUGCUGCUGUAAGGCAUCAGAGGCAGUUAGACAAACAGAGGGGUUUGUUGUUCAAGCAGGGCAGUGCGGAUCCUCUGCCCACAUCCACCCGUGAUUUCUGUGUUGCCCCAACUGCCUCACGUGCUCUGAAUCGCUUUGCUGAUGGGUGUCGGUGCUGAAGCGACACGGCAUUGUGCUGCUGCCUCUUGUUUGGAUGAGCUUCCGAGGACAAAGUAGUUGUGUUUCUCCUACUCAAAUCUGCUUAACUGUAAAAUUUGUUUUAUCAAUUGAUUGAUUUUUAGUUUGUGUUUUUUUUACUGGAUAAAUGUAGGCUGUUCUUUGAAACAACACGAGUGAGAGCUGUUCAGAAGCCUCUUCCAUGAAGCAUUCUGACAUGCAGUUUUGCUGCCACAUACCUAUCAUUGGCUGUUCCCAUGGCUCCAUUUCCUUUCACAGAACUGUUUUCACAUUUUUACUUCGAAGAGUAAAAGUUUGAGAGCUGCCCUCAACUCCCACGGAGAUGUUUUCCCCCCGGUGCAGGCCCAGGUUGGUCCUGAAGCAUCUGCAUGAAUCUCUGGAGUCUGUGAGUAAAGAAACAAGGCUGCAUCUCCUUGAAGCAGCUUUGAACCUUGGAUCUUUCUCCUAUAAUCUGUCGUUGGAGAAAGGCCUUUUCCAGAUGGCAGAGCAGAAGAAGAUAAGAAAACAAAUGAAUUAAGGAGAGUUAAUUGAAGCUGCAUUUUACAAGUUGACAUUAUACAUCUGGCAUUUCUGUUCAUACUUCUCCAUUGGUACAUUUCAUUCUCAUUUAAUAAGUUCCUAAUUCUGUGACUUUUUUUCAAGCUUUUAAGUGCCUACGAAUUGCUGAGGAGCGGCCUGCAGGGAGCUGCUGUCCCCAGUCUUGCCAUACUUUAUUUUUUUUUAAUCAGUUUCUUUUCUUCACUGGAGGAACUUGCACGACCUGAAGAGCCUUCUGAACUCCCUCAUGUUUCAGUUGGCACAACUCCCACAUGUAAUUAUCCAUACACUACUACUUUUAGAAGGACUUUAUUAAGGCUUUACAAAAUCAGGAGCUGGGAGAUGACAGAGAUGAGCUGUGGGUUUGGCUGCUUGGAGGGGGUGAGAGGUGGCUCUGAUGCCCACUGCAGCACUGGGCUGCGGCUGACCGGAGAGUGUCUGCAGUAACAGCGCUGCCUGGCACUGCUUAAGUUCUCUUAAGAUCUGUAUAAUUUGGUUUUUGAAAGGUCACCUGAAUCAAUGUGGCACAACACGGAACCCACCCGUUCAUCAGAGCCAACUGCUGUGUGCUCUGGGGCUGCAGGUGGAGGAGCAGCUGCUGUGCGUUUCACUGCGGCGCUGAUCAGUUUGCUCCUGGUCUCUGGGUGCACUGUCAGCCAUCUCCUUUCUGUCCCCUGCUGCCUCAGUGCAGUGUGUCCGUAGUCAACAUGAGGCUUUCAGAUUCAGUGUGGAUCUGUUAUCAAAUGAAGCACUGACUCAGUGCCAAUGAUUUAUCCAGAAGUGUUCUAAAACUUUGGUGUUUCAGUUUUUGGGGGCAGAUUAGGAAGCAUCGUGAGGCAUUUUAAACACGGGCAUGAGGAUGGCUCACUGGAAAAUGUUCGUUCCUGCUAAUGGAACUGCUGAACAGAUCCGCCCCAAGGCUGAGUUGGCAGCUGUACGUCGGUGUGCUGCUCCAGGAGCAGAGCAUCACAGAGGCCGUGCAGCUGAGUAACGGUGGGGCUGGAGGUGUGAGGCUGAUGCUCAGAUGCAGCGCAGGAAGCUACAAAGUGUAUGCAGAAUGCUUGAAGUGUGCUGCUUUUUUUUCUGUUUUUGGAGAUAGUACUUUUCCUCAUAUUAACUAUAUUAGAAGUUCAGGGGAAGGCUUUGGAGACGUGUGGCUGUGUCACUGACUUCCAGCUGGUCCAAACAGCUCUCAGCUUGUCUUUUCUUCACAGCUACAGCAAGAAGGCAAAGGGUGUACUUCACAGCUGAAUAGAGUUCAGUAGUCAGAUCUGAUGCUUGUUAUGUCCUUGAUUUUAAUUCAGUGUUAGGCAUGAAGGUAUUUGCUUUUGUCGUGGUUGUGCUGGCUGAGGAGGAAGGGAGAAGUUGGUGCUCCCUCGGGGAGCCCCCCUGCAUUCAGGCGUAGGCCCGCAAGCUGCCAGGGAACCUACGUGGUGCUUCCAAAGGCCACAGCUCAGCAAAUUCAGCAUUAAAUCUGCUGGUGAAGGAGAAAUUAGAUGGCAAGCAGAAUUAGAACUGGCAGUUUUCUAUGAGAAAGGUAGGAAAUGGCCCAGCCUCGACAGUUUGGCAAUUAAGAAAGAGAACAACUUUGGCAAAAAGCCCAUCCUAUUUCAGCGAUGAAUGAGGGGAAAAAUAGAUGUAAUAUAAAACAUGAAAAAGGGAAACUGACAGCAAUCAACACAAAGGAUAAGAGUUAUGAAGUGUAGAAAAUUAAUAAGGAAAGCAAUAACCAAAGGAAAAGAAAAAUGUAUGGACUGGAGUGCUUUGGGGGGGGGGGGGAGGAAGGUGAAGAGUUGAGGUACCGAGGAAAUCUUGGCAGCAGAUAGGGGUUGUUCCUGGAUGCAGGUGGUGAAACUGCUGGUGACGAGCUGGGAGAACUGGAGAGGUGAGGUCAUUCAUUAGCAAUGCUUAACAUUCAAAGUUAACAUCUUUAAGUUCAAUCUAAAAAACUUCUGUCGGUACUCCUAAGGGGGAUGACUGAGGCCAUCCCUGCUGAUGAGGGUGGCAUACAAGAUGGGGUGACCAGGUACGGUGCUUGCUUAGCUGCACAGCCCUGGGAAAGGGAUGAAAAAGGAGAUGAACACUAAUGGAGGAGUAUCAUGUAAGUCACUUAUUUCAUCCUGUCGUUAUUUCUCUAUUUUCUAUGGGAUUAAUGUGGGUUGAGUGUAGCUGGACCCCAGCAAAGCCUGGUGUUCUGUGAUAAUCACACAUUUCAGAAGCGGUCCUUGCAAGAGAACCGCAGUGAAAUGGGGAUGCUCACAGAAGACUUCUGCAGGGAUCUGAUGCAAUUCAGUGCUUCCCAAUCACUGGUGAAAAUACACAUAAAACUGCUACUGAGAAAAUGGUAACAUGAAGAACAUAUUUGUGCUCAGAGUCAGAGAAUAAGAGCUCCACCUGUGCUCCCAGUGCGAAAAGCUGACGAAGGAGGUCAUGUUGUUUUGAAUUAUCCCUGGCAGUGAUUGUACUUCUGUAUGUCUCAGCUAUGAGAGAUGGGAAUUUCUGAUGCAAUUUGGAUAUUUGCAUGUUGAGAGAGAAGCUGGAUAAUUGGGGUAGAUGCAAAAAGAGGUUCAAAACUUACUGUAUUACUAGUGGAGUGUGAAAUGCCAUAGAGGGAGAGAGAAAACUGCUUGGCUGAGUUUAUCUGAGAAUGUCUUGAUGACAGUGCACGAGUACCUUCACACACAGAAAAUACCCAACACCACUCUCUUUGAUCUUACAAUGAGCAAAACAAGACUCGCUGACUGGCAGUCAAAGCCAGGCAAAUUCAGAUUGGAAAAAAGGCACAGAUUCUUGAGAGAAUAACUGUAUAAUUUAGAAAUGUUUCUCCCAAAACUGUGAAAAGAACAAUAAAAGUUGCAAUAUUUAUGCAAA